AAGUCGUAACAAGGUUUCCGUAGGUGAACCUGCGGAAGGAUCAUUAACACGUAUUUACUACGUAUUAACCAAACGCGAACUCGUUUUUUGUCCUAAGACUAGUAUAAGAGUGAGAAGUAAGGGAAUGGUGUGAGCUCUGCUCUAACUUAUCUCUCUAUCAGCCUCGAGCUGAAGCUCUAACUAGUUUUAGCAGAUGAAUUUCGGCUGUUUAACCUGCACCUUGGUUGGCAGUCGGAGUGCCCAUUAUUAACCCAUUUAUUCUUCUACUGAUUUGUAUGUUCAUAUUAAUUCCUAUCUUCGGAUGGUUGAGUUAAUUUGAAUGUCGUAUAUUACUAAUACGAAACAACUCUUAGCAACGGAUAUCUUGGUUCUC
rnacentral:misc_RNA from 1 species